GAGAUGGGCUUCACUUUGUUGCCCAGGCUGGUCUCCAACUCCUGGCCUCUGGCGAUCCUCCUGCCUCAGCCUCCCAAAGUGCUGGGAUGACAGGCAUGAGCCCUCACACCUGCCCUAACAUUUUGAUGGAUGAAGCCAAAUUGCCCUUCCAGAAGCUUCUGCUUGUGCCCAGGCACAUUGACAUGAGGGCCUCGAAUCCUGCCUGAGCUCCAUGAAGGCUGCAGUGACUUGAGUUGGCGUGAGUGGAAACCUCUGCCUCCACAGUGAAAUGUCACUGACUACUGGAAAUUAGGCGAAUGCAUUAGUGCACAGCAGAGGUGGCACGGGGAGCGGUCAAUGUGUGUCAGUCUCCCCUGGCGGACGGUGGCGAGCUGAGAUGAGGUUGUGUCUGCCUUU
rnacentral:lncRNA from 1 species